rnacentral:hammerhead_ribozyme from 1 species
ACCUUGCUGAUAAGUGCUAAAUAGCACGAAACUCGGGUCCAGGGU